AAAUACAGUGAAACUGCAAAUGGCUCAUUACAACAGUUAUAGUUUAUUUGAUAAUAAAAGUUUACAUGGAUAACCGUAGUAAUUCUAGAGCUAAUACAUGAGCAAAAUCUCAACUAAAUUAGAAGAGAUGCAUUUAUUAGAUAAAAAGCCAAUGCAUACUUUUAUAGUAUGGAGAUUGGUGAUUUACAAUAACUUAGCAAAUCGCACAAUGAAAAUUGGCGAUAAAUCAUUCAAGUUUCUGACCUAUCAGCUUUCGACGGUAGGGUAUUGGCUUACCGUGGCAGUGACGGUUAACGGGGGAUUAGGGUUCGAUUCCGGAGAGGGAGCCUGAGAAACGGCUACCACAUCUAAGGAAGGCAGCAGGCGCGCAAAUUACCCAAUCCUAACAGCACAAGGGAGGUAGUGACAAGAAAUAACAAUACAAGGCAAUUAAAAUGUUUUGUAAUUGGAAUGAUAGAAAUUUAAACACUUUCUAGAGUAUCAAUUGGAGGGCAAGUCUGGUGCCAGCAGCCGCGGUAAUUCCAGCUUCAAUAGCGUAUAUUAAAGUUGUUGCAGUUAAAAAGCUCGUAGUUGGAUUUCUGUUAAAAAUAACUGGUCUGCUUUUAAUUAAAGUGGUACCUUGGUGUGUUUUUAGCAUUAAUGUCCUAUGAAGUGUUUUUUACUUUAUUGUUAAAAGCAAUAUUCAGGAUUUUUACUUUGAGAAAAUUAGAGUGUUUCAAGCAGGCUAACGUUUUGAAUACUGCAGCAUGGAAUAAUAAAAUAGGAUUUUGGUUCUACAUUAUUGGUUUUAAGAACUAAAUUAAUGAUUAAUAGGGAC
rnacentral:rRNA from 1 species